rnacentral:lncRNA from 12 species
CUGCCAAAUGCGUUAAGUCAACGAUGGAAAGGGUGUUUGUUUGUUUGGCUAAAUUGAUCCUCUUCUAGUAAUCUGAAGUAUUUCAUUGUUAUCAAAGGCAGUCUCUGAAACGAAUGAGUUUGAAAUGCCAUCCAAAGUAAGCUAAUCGCUAUAAAAAUC